rnacentral:misc_RNA from 1 species
UUUACCACCUCGAGCCCCCGGCUCGGAGUUGGACCCCGCCCCGGCACACCCGCCGCGGGCGCCGUCCGAAAUCCAUAGGCGCCCGGCCACGGGAACCCCGGCACAGCGGAAACACUCGCUGGGGACCCCGCGGCCGCGGCACGCCAGAGAACAAGACCACACGUAAC